GACGAACGCUGGCGGCGUGCCUAAUACAUGCAAGUCGAACGCAUUUUCUUUCACCGUAUCUUGCUACACCGAGAGAAAAAGAGUGGAGAACGGGUGAGUAACACGUGGGUAACCUGCCCAUCAGCGGGGGAUAACACUUGGAAACAGGUGCUAAUACCUCAUAAUUCAAUUUACAGGAUGGUAAGAGGAUGUAGGGCGCUUUUGCGUCUAUUAUGGAUGGUCUUGCGGAGAUUUAGAUAGAUGGUGGGGUAAAGGCGUACCAAGGUUGUGAUGCAUCGCCGACCUGGGAGGGUGAUCGGCCAAACUGGGCAUGAGCCACGGCCCAGACUCCUACGGGAGGCAGCAGUAGGGAAUCUUCGGCAAUGGACACAAGUCUGACCGAGCAACGCCGCGUGAGUGAAGAAGGUUUUCGGAUCGUAAAACUCUGUUGUUAGAGAAGAACGAGGAUGAGAGUGGAAAGUUCAUACCUUGACGGUAUCUAACCAGAAAGCCACGGCUAACUACGUG
rnacentral:rRNA from 1 species